ACGCCGUAAACGAUGAGUACUAGGUGUAGGGGUNAUCGACCCCCUCUGUGCCGAAGCUAACGCGAUAAGUACUCCGCCUGGGGACUACGGCCGCAAGGCUAAAACUCAAAGGGAUUGACGGGGGCCCGCACAAGCAGCGGAGCGUGUGGUUUAAUUCGAUGAUACGCGAAGAACCUCACCCAGGUUUGACAUGCAUGUGGUACUGAUGUGAAAGCUGAGGGACCCUUCGGGGAGCAUGCACAGGUGUUGCACGGCCGUCGUCAGCUCGUGCCGUGAGGUGUUGGGUUAAGUCCCGCAACGAGCGCAACCCCUGUCGCCAGUUGUACUUUUCUGGCGAGACUGCCGAGAAAACCUCGGAGGAAGGAGGGGACGAUGUCAGGUCAGCGUGGCCCUUACGCCUGGGGCUACACACACGCUACAAUGGGCAGUACAACGGGUCGCCAAGCCGCGAGGUGGAGCUAAUCCCAUCAAAACUGUCCUCAGUUCGGAUUGCAGGCUGAAACCCGCCUGCAUGAAGCCGGAGUUGCUAGUAACCGCAGGUCAGCACUACUGCGGUGAU
rnacentral:rRNA from 1 species